CCCAGCUUGCUGGGUGGAUUAGUGGCGAACGGGUGAGUAACACGUGAGUAACCUGCCCUGGACUCUGGGAUAACCCCGAGAAAUCGGAGCUAAUACCGGAUAGGACCUUUCCCCGCAUGGGGUUUGGUGGAAAGUUUUUCGGUUUGGGAUGGACUCGCGGCCUAUCAGCUUGUUGGUGAGGUAAUGGCUCACCAAGGCGUCGACGGGUAGCCGGCCUGAGAGGGUGACCGGCCACACUGGGACUGAGACACGGCCCAGACUCCUACGGGAGGCAGCAGUGGGGAAUAUUGCACAAUGGGCGCAAGCCUGAUGCAGCAACGCCGCGUGCGGGAUGACGGCCUUCGGGUUGUAAACCGCUUUUAGUAGGGAAGAAGGGCUUCGGCUUGACGGUACCUGCAGAAAAAGGACCGGCUAACUACGUGCCAGCAGCCGCGGUAAUACGUAGGGUCCGAGCGUUGUCCGGAAUUAUUGGGCGUAAAGAGCUCGUAGGCGGUUUGUCGCGUCUGCUGUGAAAACUAGAGGCUCAACCUCUAGCCUGCAGUGGGUACGGGCAGACUUGAGUGGUGUAGGGGAGACUGGAAUUCCUGGUGUAGCGGUGGAAUGCGCAGAUA
rnacentral:rRNA from 1 species